AGCUUUGUGCAGUGGUGGUAUCACAGCCAAUGAGGUUUAUCCAAGACAUGAUGAUUGCUAAUAGAAAACUAUUUGUGUUUUG
ensembl:snRNA U4 U4 spliceosomal RNA